GAGCUGUGAAGAAAUUGGCUUAGUGAAGGUUGGGUCCUUCACAUUCAUGUCAUGUCCAGAUGAUUCCGCCGCACCUGAGCUC